CAUUGUUUAUUGUAGGUGGUCCUGUCUCAUGCAAAAUGACACUAGUAACCCUGCCCCCCUCUACUGCGGGGUGUGCCAACGUGAGUACGACUACACUCGUGGCACAUUUUCUGACAACGGCAGCGCCAGAAAAAAUACAUCCAUUAACAUGCAAUAACUCUUUUCCUCACUCAAAAAUAUUACCAAAUUUUAAACUAUAAAACAGACACCACUUCUCUAUACUACACUUUUUUCUUGACUUGUUUUUUUUUUUAAUGAUUCAUAACACCAGGGUGAACACACACAAGUCAUAGAUUUUCAGUACUUCAUAAAAGCAGCUGUGAUGGCUUCACAUCUAAUUGACGUAGUGAAAUCAAAUGGGAAGCGCUAAAUAAUACAAAUCUAAUUCUGAGCUCAACAACAUUACAUCUUAUUAAACAUGCAUUUCUGAACACCAGGAAAAGAAGGACAGCUCUCAAACAAAUGGCAGGGGUACACUUUCUGCUGCAAUAUUUAGUUGUUGUUUUUUCCCAGUCAUAAAUAACAGACCUUUCAACCCCAGACAUGAGGAAUAACGCAUUCAGGAGCAUUUUUCUCCAUGGUAAUCUCAUUCAGAGUGAUGAAGCACUAGAUGAAAACAAAGUCCACCUUUAGACAUCACAAGCAUCACUUUUCCAGACGUGAAGCAGCAUAGAUAUUUGUCUAUCCAGGAAGGUAAAAGGGCUGGUCCGAACUGUUAGGAACUUUUGACAGAGACGUAGUGCAUGCUCUGGUUGUGAUAUAUAUUACAUUAGCCUUUGAAAGGCACUCUGUCAAUAGAAUGCUUUGAGCCUCAGUUCAGUAAGAGACUGGGUUAGUCCACUCCUGUUAGGAAAUCGAAUUGGUGUGUCAGUCAAAGCCCUGCUCUAAGUCACACCCUCCCUUCUUCGUGUACGCUGAUCACGUUGGCAUGCUCGGGGAAGGUUGUGUUCUCAUAUCGCAGAAGGUUUUGAAAAGGUUUUUGUACAGUGGUACGCCUUGGGCAGAGGAAAGGGGAUUCAAAUUUAAGGUAAAGCUACGCGGUCGUCCAUGUAGUCAGUUGACUUGCUCAAAAAUAUGCUUCAAGGUAAAAAACAUAAAUGUAUUAGCCGUAAAAUAAUGCCGCUUGUUGUGGGAUAAUAUUAUAAUGUUAGCUCCUUAGCCUAGUUACUGUUGUUGGCGCUAGCAAGAUAAUUAAGGCAGAUUAUGCAAUUAUUCCACAAAUUACAACAGUUCCAGGUUUUCCUAAUGACAUGCGUGACAUGCUUCAGUCCAAAUAUCAAAGGAUGAAGAAUUUCCCUGCCUGCUUUGGGGGGCAGAACUGCUCAACCCGCCGUCUUUUACUAUGGGAUGCCAACACAAGCGCGAACUUCCACCCAUCCAUUUUCUGAGCCGCUUAUCCUCACUGGAGCCUAUCCCAGCUAUCUUCGGGCAGGAGGCGGGGUACGCCCUGGACGAAUGUUGCGGUUUACUGAGACACGGUGAGACUGACCCGCUGUCAAGGUACAAAGCCAAUGAAGGGCUGCUCAUAAUAAAAGGUUGUGGAAUCUGAGGCGCUCCAGAAUGGUGGAAGCUGUGAGGGCAGCACGAGGAGAAGACCUGGAGUCAAUUAGUGUCACCAUCCUGGCAAGAACCGAGAGCCUGAUUAACGAUUAAUUUAUUGAAAGCCAAACGCCUGCGCUCUGUGAUAGCUGAAAGGAAGCCGAGUUUUCACAGUGUUUGAUGACUGCACACCGUGUCUGCUGGCACCAAUCUGCAAAUAAAGUUCUACUCCGAUCCACACUAGGUGCCCCGAGCCACCUCAGCUGAUUCUCAGGUGCCCGAGCUCCUCACCCUACGUCUGAAGAUUGUGAUGUAACAGUGGGGUUAUUGGACAUAAUACCAUCUCCCCACACUGAGCUUCUUCGCCCAUGACUUGGCUGCCAAACUGGGCGAAGAGCUACCACAGAUUCGAACUAUCACUUCAAAGCCAAAAGGCCAAUACGUGCUCGGUCAGGAGGCCGCUGUGUCGACAUUUGUAUGGGGUGUGUCAGAAAAGUUCCAGGAUAUAUUUUCCCCUGCAACGUUGGACGACAUCAGGAUGGCCGUGACUACAAAGCUGCGAAGGAGCCCCGAAGAAUAGAAGAGUUCAAAAGCCGACUAAAACAGACGGACUAUUUUUUGAAGAAAAGUCUUUUCUUGGAGCUGUCUGGUUUUGCGAUUUGGAGGCAGGAUGCACUAUAAAAAAAAAAUAUAUAUAUAUUUUUUAAAAAGCAUACAAGGCACAUGGAAAAUUAACAAAAACAAGUCAAAAAUAAAGAUACAAAGAAACACUGGGAAAAGAAACACACACCACUUGACCUUAAACUUGAGGUGACAGAUGAAAGCAACAGCAACAACAAUAAACAGACAGACUGAGAGAAACCGGGGAAGUAAAUACAAACAAACUAACGAGACAACGAGGCACACCUGGACAAGAGACGAGUGACUGAAGGGAGCUGAUUGGUAGACACAAGACAAUGAAAACAAGACAUAACAUGCAACAAAACUAUAAAUAAAAAAUAUAAUCCAAACAAUAACACAGUUUGUGACAGAAAUGAUCUCAAAGACCUCGGUGAAAGACCUAAGACGUCAUAUUUAAUUUAGAACACCAUAAAAUAAAAUGAUUAGCUUAAACCUGGAACCAGAAAUAAAAUAAGAAUAAUUUGGCUCGAUCCACAAAAAAAUCAGAUGUAGACUUUUGCAUUUGAACAA